UCAACUAUUUUACAUGUGUGAUUUUAAUGAGUUUGAUAUUGAUAUAUGAGCAUUUCAUCAUCAUUGACAUUUUGCGUUUACGAUUAAAGAAACACGAUAAAACGACUUUCUUAUUUUGAUGUACGCCUCUUUUAUAUCGCUUUGAUCAUCGAUUCUUAAAUUGAUCAAAGUUUUUGGUCUGUGUUUAUGUAUGCUUUUGCCUUUUCAUCACAUCUUUGAUUUUCUUUCAAGUCUUUAAUCGUUAAUUUUGGUUGUUCAUCUUGAAUUAAAUAAACAUAAUAUAUUCUUCUUGGUAGAAUAAACUACAUCUAUCGAAUAAAAUAUUGGAUGAUCAAUAGAAAAAACAUGAAUUUACCACAACAAUUUUGCCGUGCCAUCAAAGAGUCGUUGGCCGAUAAUGUUGUCAAUCAAAUGAUCGAAAGAAUAAUGAAUCAUUUUCCAUUAGAAUCAAAUAUUUGUCUUUCCAAUUCCAGCUGUAACAUUGAAUUGAUGUUAAUGUUCAUCGAGAAUUCCAUUCAGUCAUUCAGGAAAGCAGAUAAUAGUAAAUUGGUAUUGAUCAAUGAAGAAAUGUUACAUAAUCGUUCCAAACUAAUGCAAAAAUUCAUUAUACAAGACGAUAUACACUUGUUAGAUUUUCUGGUCAAUGUUAUUGAAUUUUUACAUAAACAACAAUUAUCAUUACCAGAAAUUGAUAAAGCUGUUAAUGUAUUAAAUUUUGAAGAAGUAAUACCGCUUUACAUUCGUAAUCAUUGGACAUUCGCACGAAAACCAAAUGGUGAACCAUCCAGUGUUGAGGAUCGUCUACAAGUCGUUCGUCAAUGUCUUCAUUUUAAAUGCUGGAUUUAUUAUUACACUGAUCCUAAUGAAUACUUUUAAUGUGUUGAUACAUUUCAAAUGCAGAAUAUGCAAAGUUUCCAUUAUUUUGUCUUGUCAUUCAUGUCUCUGUUUUUCUAUAAAAUUAUCAUCGAUUAAAGACAAAACAACAUAGAAUUUAUCCCGAACAACUUAUUAUUUGAGAUCUCAUUUUUUUGGCAAAAGAAAAAACAAAUUGUCAAGAAAUUUUUUGUCUAUUUCAUCAAUCUUGAUAUUUUUUUUUCUCGUUGUUACAUCAUUUGUUCAAUGUUUUAAAUUUUAUAUCAUCAUUAUAAUUUAUGUUAUAUGAAACGAUGAAUAAAGAGACAUUAAAACUUUAAAAUUCUUCCGUCUUAAUAAUUUCUAGAGUUUAGAAAAUCAACCGACCAUUUUAAAAUUUUUUCCAAU